rnacentral:lncRNA from 12 species
UUUUCUAGAGGCAGAAGAGUGGAGAGUGUCUGCAACCAUGCAGGUAUGGCUGUGCCCCAGUCUCCCGAAGCACUGCACCUUGACGGACACGCAUGGUUAAGCCAUUUCUGUCUCCGACAGUGGAGACUGAAUUCACACAAGAGGAGAGCGAAGGGAAAUAAAUGGAGCAGCAACAGCCACUGUGCAUCCCUGCCAUCCUCUCACCCUGCUGAUCAGAAGUGAUAGCAAAGUGGACUUGGUGAACCUGCCCCUGGAAACCCAGAGGAAUCGCUCUCCUUCUUUUCCUGCUUCACCCAGAACAGAUCGCCCUGACUGAGGGGUCCAGGCUCAGUCCCCACUCACAGCCCCAUCGAAUGUAAGUGAUUUGAGACUCCUCUCUACAAUGUGCUGAUUACUUAAAUGGAGUCUUCAUGCUCAGGCAUUUAGCAGAAGCUUCGGAUGCAAAAUUGCUUACAAAUCCAGCCUUUCUGGAGUCUGAACUCUGGAUGUGAGAACUGUAUUUACAUUAAUCUAUGAGAGCUUAUAAGGCAGGUACAGGUCCCAUUAAACACCCAUCAUGUCAGCUUCCUGUUUGCCACAGACGUGCUGCGGUAUCUGGAACCCUGUAGAUGUCUGGGCAACUUCUCAUCGAGGCAUUGUCGUGCUAAGGUGAGCCGGGUGCCCCUCCAGGUGAGAAUACUCUUCAAUUCCUCUUCACAGUCUCCUACCAUGGAACUAUCCAUACACUUUGAAUACGUUUUUACCACGUGCCCAGGUCCUGGCUGCCAAUCAAGACCCAAUGUUUAAUUCCUUAUAUAAAACCUCCCCAACUUACUGCUGGCGACAGUGGCUGUAUUAGAUAUUUCUAAUAUCUAGGUAUCUCCUCAGCCUUGCCAGCCUCUCAGUUCAAUGGAGGAGUUUUUCCACGUCUUAGCUGCUACCAUAGCUUAUUGCCUACCCUUUGGGCCUGAGAUGAGAUCCUGUCAAAGGUCCUGAUGGAUGUCUUGUCCUGGAUUGUGGGGCUUCCCAGAGGCUCUUACCGUGAAGCCAUGCCUAUGAGUCACUUACUAAGUGCAUGACUCCUUUGAUUACAUUAAGACUUGGAUGAGCCGUCACGUCAUAAUUAGGAUCUGGUCAUCCAAGAAGCUACCAAAAGGGGUAGAUGGCAAGAUCCAAAAGAGGGGGAGUUAACUCCCCAUGAAGUAGACUAGACAAAUGGAAACCAGCGCACAGGAUGGAGACA